CGAGAAGGUCACAGCCCUCCGCAGGAGAGAGCCAUGGGAAGACAAAUAUUACCUGGAGAGACGUGUUGUAGUAGAGGACAGACAGGACUCACCCGGCCAAUGCUCCCAGCAGCCAGGUUUGGGCUUGUCACACGGCACUCGCUUUGGGCAGCUGGUCCCCAUGCAGAAAGAAAGUCUUCUAAGAGUUCGUGCUAGAUCUUAUUGGCCUCCAGAUAUCCACGACCGGAAGGAACCCUCUCCAUUUAAGACAAGAAUUCUUUUUCCUUUGGGAAGGCCAAGUGAAGCAAAUGGUGAUCCCAGGCAGUGAUAUCUGCAACCCAGAGGCUUAAUCCUGACGAGGCUGAUGAAUGUGUGUGUCGAGCUGCUCCUGGCAAACACAGCACCUAUCAGAUAUCACAGCAAAACAACAACAACGACAAAAACGGUUGUUCUUUGGAGUCAGUUUGUUCCUCAUAGGAGGGGUCUAGGUGGAAGGGGCUGACUUUCAAGCCGAGGCAGUGACUUCUGGGUCAGAUGUGUGUCUGGGACACAGGGAUGGGGACAGGAAUGUGUCUGGGAGGGUGGGCAGGGCUUGAUGUCUUUGGAACCAAGCUCCAGAAGGGCAAGGCACCCUCCUGGGGUUAUGACUGGGCCUGGUGAUGGCAACGAGGAAGGGUGUGUUUGCCAUUGAAGUAUUUAAGCAUUGUCUCACCAGUCAGAAAACAAGACUGGCUUGUUGCUUCAUCCUAGCCCAGGGCCCUUCAAACUCAGAUCUCAGCAUGACCCACUCAGGGAAAUGUUCUGAGUUUCUCAGUAGGCGACGUCCAGCCCAACUAGCAAGUCUCCCAACCGUAUUACUGAUUUUGAGAAUUAAAAAAAAAAAAGUUUCUCUUUAUUU